UGGUGCUUUCGUCCCUGCUUGUCCUCUCUGCCCGCCGCUCCCCGCGCCCCUCCUCCCCGGUGUCACGGAGGCUUAACCCACAAAUACAAACUUUGUAUGUUCGAGGUGCAUGAUGUGGCGGUUUGGCAUGUGCAUGGACGGCGCUGAUGGACACGUCCAUCCCCCCACGGGGUGACCCAGCUUCCUAUCCUCUGUGUCUGUGGUGAGGGCACUUAGGACACACGCGGACUCUGCUGCGCCCUGGCAUCCAGCGCUGUCCCGUCCGCCGCAGUCACCACGCGCGAGCCAGCUCUGGGACCUGGGAGCCUGUGCCCUCACCCAGCCUUCCCGGUCACGGGGACCCGCGGCCGCGCCGGCGCCUGGGCUGGCCUGUUGGGGCCCACGGUAGGCGAAGUACUCCACACCCCGUCCUGCAGGCCCACCCGAGCUGGCGCAAGUGGCUUUUCCUCCUUUGUAAGGCUGAACAGUGCUCCGUGUGUGUGCCCGCCACAUCUUUGUCUUGCAUCCGUCUGUCCAUGCACCCCCAGCUUCCUCAUCUCGGCUCGUGGAUGGCACCGCAAUGAACGUCCCCCCGUCGCUCUGCUUCUCCUUUUCUCUUUCCCUCCCUCCUCCUCCCCUUGCAUCAGUCCCUCUGUCUCUCCCCCCUCCAUCCGUCCAUCCCUCCAUCCUUCCCCUUCUCUGUCUGUCUGGCUCCCCCACCACCCAGCCCCCGACAUCUGUGUGGCCGCGACACGUGUGCAGCACAGCACUCAGCACGUUCAGAGUGGUUCCAGCCUCGGCUGCAUCUCAUUAAUGCCUCCUGCGGGCGCGCGUCCCCCGGGAGCCCCGGGCCCUGCAGGGAGAGAGCAGGGUCACCCCGGAAGGACCCCAGGCGGCGGCGGAGGCUCUCGGAGGCCUGACUUGGAAGUGAGAACUUGAAGCCACGCGGCGUCUUCCCAGGCGGAGGUGGAGGGUGUGCCUGUGGGGGGCACAGGGAUCCUACGGCUACAGCCCCUCCCACGGACCCCGGGGACUUCGAAUCGCCUGCUCCUCCUUGUGAAGCCAACUUUUUCCAGGUGUAAUUUACAGACCGUGAAAGGCACCAUUUCAAGCAACAAAUAUAUAACAGAUCAGGAGCUUCUAGAAGGCAAAGCCUGUGUCUUGAGCACCUGCAUUUCCUUGGCCCCAGGCCUUUUGCUCAGCACACACACAUACACACACACUUGCACGCGUGCACACAUGCCAACCAGCAGAGGGAGAAGCAGAAGAGGCCCUGGUGGCUUUGCAUGGGGACCGUCCUCUCGGCGAAUCCAGGACAAGAGGAAGCCGCGGUCGGUCAAGGUCGGUUGGGAAGCCUGUGCCCUUCGAUCACAGGAAUGACAGUGCAUCUCAGGAGCGACUGCCAACUCGGUGUCCUGCCAGGUUCAGGCGGGACAGACGCUCAAACUGGGUCAGAGGCCCGGCUCUGCCUCGUUCCAAGGAGCAAGCGCCGUGGUCGCUGGAAAGUCCAUCUUACGUGAGGUUCUUUAUCCAGUUGGUUAAUUAGAUUUUCCUCAAUGAUUUCACGCCGCGGUUCUGCUUUGCAAGAGGAACUUAAGCGGGCUUUGCCAGGAAGUCCUGUUGGAAGCCGACCGGGUGCUGCAGUGGGGGUGGGGGCGCAGAGGGGGCUGAGUGCUGGCACCCUGACUGCCCCCCUCCGCUGCCUCGACCCCCCACCCCAGCCCUGGGCCGGAGUUCAUUAUUCACGGGCAUCCCUCCUGGCACGCACCGUGUGCCAUGCGUAGGCUCCGAGGACAGCAGCGAGGCACCCAGACCCUGCCCUCUGGGGCUUGAGUCCAACGGUGGGGGAAACACUGAUGGGGGGAACCACAGCUCCCAAGGGGCCCGGGGCCAGGGUGGUCAGAGCCAAGGGUGCACAGCGUAGGUGGAGCAGCCCGGAUGCCUAUGUCGCUCCCGGCGAGUAUGUGUGCGUGCCCAUCCACCUCACUGCCCUGCUAGUCAGCACCGAGUCAGGGGACUGUGGGGCUAGGCGUUCUCAGGGGACCGGCAGGCACCCUGGGUUAGGCCGCAGAGGGGUCUGGGGGAGAACUGGACCAAGAGCGGACGUGAUUAUGAAUUGGCCCCAGGAAGCUCCUGGAGUGGAGGCCACUCAGGUGCAGGGUCCUGAGUCAGGAGGGCAAGUGCAUGAAAGGUGAGCGGGGCUGAGAUGGGGGGGGCGGCCCACAGGAGGAUCUGGGGAGGCUGGGAGCGAUGUCCCCCACGGUUCCCCUCCACAGAAGGGCAGGGACGAGGUCCUGCUCAUCGGUCCCCCUCCAGGAAGCCUGCCCGGGUCUCGCCCUCUCUUCAGAGGAGAGGGACAGUCGGCUGCAAGGCGGCCUGUGGUGGCCUCCGGCUCCCUCCCCCAUCCCGUCCCCUCUCUGGAUGUUUCUGCAGCCGUCCACGGGGCAUUUGGGACGGAGCACAGGGCAGAUCCCCGGGUGCGCAUCCAGCCCGUGCCCCUUUGCUGUGAUUCUGCUCAGGGGACUUGGCCUCCCGGAGCCGGUGCUGCUCCUGCAGCGGGAGGGAGGAGGGCGCAGGCGCCUGGGGCCAGGCCUUCUUCACCCAUGCCCGGGGCUUGGGAAGAACCGCGGCCCUGCUCACCCCUUGCACGCCCGGGCAUUGAAUGUCGGGUGGGUGCCGGGCUGCUCCCCUCCCAGGGCCCCGCCCCAGCCACUCCAGAGACCCCCACGCUGAGCCCUGCUCACUCGCUCGCUUGCGCCCCACCGGGGUGACAGCCCUGCUGGAGCUCAGCACGGCCACGACGCCUUGGCAACGACCAAAGUGGCUUUUCAGUGAGAACUGAAGCCCGAGGAGGAAAAACACGAGAGUAAGCGAGCUGGAGAGCAGACCUGGGUCACGACCCGAAGCCCCGGGCCUGGACCCAGGGAACCGCGGGAGCUCUGUUCCCACGUCUGGGAGGAGUGCCUCCCAGGGGCUCAUUUCAUUCAAUCCUCAAGACCAUCCCCGAGGACCCCGGAGGAGGCGAACCAGGCACAAAGGUUAAGACGCUUGCUCAAGGCACACAGCAUUAAGGCUCUGUUAUCGGGUAACCACAGUUUAGCCCCCAAAUAAUAGCUCUGACUUUCCAGA